rnacentral:tRNA from 1 species
CCCUCGGUAGCCAAGUUGGUCUAAGGCGCAAGACUGUAAUUUGUUACUUCGAAAUCUUGAGAUCGGGCGUUCGACUCGCCCCCGAGGGA